GUCUGCUGCCAAUUACAGUGGUCUUUGUUAUAGCACAACACCUGACAAAUUCAAUAGCUGAAAUGCUUUGUGUUUCUGCUGAGAAGUACCAGCUCUUGCUUCAGGCUGUGAUUGCUGAAUCAUAUAUCACAGAGCUCUGGUCAUGAAUCUGGCUAUGAAUUCCCCUCUAGUCUGAAAUUGAUAACAUCUGUUGGCAACAGCAAGUGUUAACUACACAGAUAAAGCCAACUCUUUGCAAAAAUAUAGAAAGAAUUGCAGGUCUUUAAAAAAUGUGAAGGAUUUGUAGGAAGCCUUGCCACUGAAGAUGUGAGGCUACUUUCCACAGUGGUACCUUAAAGAGAUGCUGUCACUACACCCGGCUGGGAUAUUUUCAGUGGAAAUACCUCCAGAGAAGUGAGAGCAGUUUUGACACCAGUUAUGGAGUUAUGGCUUCCAGAGAUGCUGGCCAGGAGAUGGUUGCACAAGAGAGCUUGAAGACAUUACUGGGAACAAGGACACGUUCUUCAGAAAGAUGGAACAACUGAAUAAGUAAUAGACUUUUUUUUUAUAUAAAAUGGCUAUCCUUCUCCAGGUGGUUGAGUGUCUUUCAGAGAAGUUUUGGGCUUUGUCUAAGCCUUGCAAACCUGGUAGAAACCAGACCAAAAUACUGUGUUGCACUUAAGAAGCAAAUCAGCAGCACCAGUAUCUGCCCUCUUACUGCAGCAGUUUCUGCAGGAAGCUAAAUAAUAUUUACCAGAUUUAUAUGUCUGUCUCUAGGGAAUUCUAGAAAUGCUUUCAGAAAUACCUGUCCCUGUUUCAAUUAUCUCUGUUCAGCAAGUAGCACUAUUGCCACUCAGUGGGGUCUGAAACAUUAAUGACAUAUCCCAGCAGGGGCCCAGAUGGAUAAGACAAAGUAGAAAGAAUUGGUUUUGUCACAGAAAAAAGCAUUAAAAACAAAAAAAUAUCAAAUUUAUGCUAUGUUUUUAAAUUUUAUUAGUUAAUUUAACAGUUCACUUAACAAGUGUUAAUAAUUUUUAAAACUAACUGUUCUCUCUAAUUAAAGCCACU
rnacentral:lncRNA from 1 species